rnacentral:tRNA from 1 species
AUGAUUAGCUCAGUUGGUAGAGCAGCUGACUCUUAAUCAGCGGGUCGCAGGUUCGACCCCUGCAUCCUC